GAACUGGAUGUGGAAGUUUUACACGGCCACCACUUUUUGGUACUAGAACAGUGCUUUUUCUAGUACACUCAUAAGUGGAUGCUGAGAUCACAACCUGGCCAUUUGGAUGUUCAACUAAUGCUUUAUGCUGCAGAGUCCCUGGAACUCACCGGAGCUCAGGUGUGUAGCACUACCUUGUUACUCCACGGCCGGGAGUGCAAACAUUGUUGAUGUGUUUAUUUUCCAUUUUUUACUUUGGAGGUUUUGUUUUGUGAGACAAGGCCUCACUCUGUCAUGCAGCCAGGAGUGUAAUCAUGGCUUACUGUUGCCUUGACUUCCCGGGUUCAAGCCAUCUC